CUAAGAAUAUUCCGCAAUGGACGAAAGUCUGACGGAGCGACGCCGCGUGGAUGAUGAAGGCCGUGAGGUUGUAAAAUCCUUUUGUCGGGGAAGAAUAAGUCUGGGAGGGAAUGCCCGGAUGAUGACAUGAACCGGUGAAUAAGCCCCGGCUAACUGCGUGCCAGCAGCCGCGGUAACACGUAGGGGGCAAGCGUUGUUCGGAAUUACUGGGCGUAAAGGGCACGUAGGCGGUCCUGUAAGCCUGACGUGAAAGGCUAUGGCUCAACCAUGGCAUUGCGUUGGGAACUGCGGGACUUGAAUCACGGAGAGGGGGCUGGAAUUCCAGGGUGUAGGGGUGAAAUCUGUAGAUAUCUGGAAGAACACCAAUGGCGAAGGCAAGCUCCUGGCCGAUGAUUGACGCUG
rnacentral:rRNA from 1 species